rnacentral:rRNA from 1 species
ACUCCUACGGGAGGCAGCGGUAAGGAAUAUUGGUCAAUGGACGCAAGUCUGAACCAGCCAUGCCGCGUGAAGGAUUAAGGUCCUCUGGAUUGUAAACUUCUUUUAUAUGGGACGAAAAAAGGUCUUUCUAGACCCCUUGACGGUACCAUAUGAAUAAGCACCGGCUAACUCCGUGCCAGCAGCCGCGGUAAUAC